rnacentral:rRNA from 1 species
GAUUUCUGGCUUGGCGCGCCGCUUCCGGCGUCUAACGAUUCCGAGUAGGUGCGUGCGCCUUCCAUCCUUCUAGUUAACCGUUAUCUCUUAACUGGGCUGGCGGCAACCUAGAUCUUUUACUUUGAAAAAAUUAGAGUGUUUAAAGCAGGCUUUUGCUGUGAAUACAUUAGCAUGGAAUAAUAAUUUAGGACUUUAUUCCUAUUUUAUUGGUUUCUAGGGGUAAAGUAAUGAUUGAUAGGGAUAGUUGGUGGUGCUAGUAUUCAGCGGCCAGAGGUGAAAUUCUUGGAUUCGCUGAAGACUAACUUAUGAGAAAGCAUU